CCUACGGGAGGCAGCAGUGAGGAAUAUUGGUCAAUGGCCGCAGGGCUGAACCAGCCAAGUCGCGUGAGGGAUGACGGUCCUAUGGAUUGUAAACCUCUUUUGUCAGGGAGCAAAGGGCGCCACGUGUGGCGCUUUGCGAGUACCUGAAGAAAAAGCAUUGGCUAACUCCGUGCCAGCAGCCGCGGUAAUACGGAGGAUGCGAGCGUUAUCCGGAUUUAUUGGGUGUAAAGGGUGCGCAGGCGGAAUGUCAAGUCAGCGGUAAAAUUUCGGGGCUCAACCCCGUCGUGCCGUUGAAACUGGCGUUCUUGAGUGAGCGAGAAGUAUGCGGAAUGCGUGGUGUAGCGGUGAAAUGCAUAGAUAUCACGCAGAACUCCGAUUGCGAAGGCAGCAUACCGGCGCUCAACUGACGCUCAUGCACGAAAGCGUGGGUAUCGAACAGGAUUAGAUACCCGGGUAGUC
rnacentral:rRNA from 1 species